GGGCCCGGCCGGCUCGGGGAAGCGCCCGGGGCCCGGUGGGAAGAGGCUUCAGGUGAAGGGAGGCUGGCAGGCUGCACGGCACGCUUCUAAACCCUCGUGGAGAACCGAUUCUGAAUAAUCACUGAAAGCUUUGUCAUCUGGUAGUCAAAAAACGAGACAACCUAAAUCGCCAAUCCAGAUUCCUUCAUAAUUAGUGAUUGAAACUGCAACGGCUAAAUGGUUUUUGAGACUUGGGUAAACUUGGCUGCACUGGAUCUGCCCAAAAGACAUCAAGCUACUGUUGAAGGGACAGAUGCUUCUUAAACUGACUUCUGAUUCUCACUGGCAUAAUGUGCAUGUGGAGGUGAUUUACCUCUACUCACUGUUGCAUUCUGCAGCUCCUCCAAAUGGGAGAUACUUGGGAAAGAACAGGACUGGAGUUGUUCUAAGUAAUUCGGUGUUUCUGCCCACAGUAAUUAUUUUCUUGUUCUGAUUGAGAGAGAGAGAGAGAGAGUGGUUCCUCAAAGGCUAUCGUGACACAAAGAAAUGGUUCUUGGCACAGACUGGAAGGAAGAGUAAGACACUGCUCCCGAGGAGCCUGUGCAAAUGCAUCUCGGCCACAUCCUGUUCUAACUGCCUUGCUUGAAAACCUUUGGGUAUUGUGAAACUUUCCAUUAAACUCUGUGGUUGCCCCAAGCUUAAAUUUU
rnacentral:lncRNA from 1 species